rnacentral:rRNA from 1 species
UACGUAGGGUGUGAGCGUUGUCCGGAAUUAUUGGGCGUAAAGAGCUUGUAGGCGGUCUGUCGCGUCUGCUGUGAAAAUCCGGGGCUCAACCCCGGACUUGCAGUGGGUACGGGCAGACUAGAGUGUGGUAGGGGAGACUGGAAUUCCUGGUGUAGCGGUGAAAUGCGCAGAUAUCAGGAAGAACACCCGUGGCGAAGGCGGCUCUCUGGAACGCAACUGACGCUGAGACGCGAAAGCGUGGGGAGCAAACAGG